AGACCCGAAACCCGGUGAUCUAGCCAUGGGCAGGUUGAAGGUUGGGUAACACUAACUGGAGGACCGAACCGACUAAUGUUGAAAAAUUAGCGGAUGACCUGUGGCUGGGGGUGAAAGGCCAAUCAAACCGGGAGAUAGCUGGUUCUCCCCGAAAGCUAUUUAGGUAGCGCCUCGUGAAUUCAUCUCCGGGGGUAGAGCACUGUUUCGGCCAGGGGGCCAUCCCGGCUUACCAAUCCGAUGCAAACUGCGAAUACCGGAGAAUGUUAUCACGGGAGACACACGGCGGGUGCUAACGUCCGUCGUGAAGAGGGAAACAACCCAGACCGCCAGCUAAGGUCCCAAAGUCAUGGUUAAGUGGGAAACGAUGUGGGAAGGCCCAGACAGCCAGGAUGUUGGCUUAGAAGCAGCCAUCAUUUAAAGAAAGCGUAAUAGCUCACUGGUCGAGUCGGCCUGCGCGGAAGAUGUAACGGGGCUAAACCAUGCACCGAAGCUGCGGCAGCGACACUGAUGUGUUGUUGGGUAGGGGAGCGUUCUGUAAGCCGUUGAAGGUGGCCUGUGAGGGUUGCUGGAGGUAUCAGAAGUGCGAAUGCUGACAUAAGUAACGAUAAAGCGGGUGAAAAGCCCGCUCGCCGGAAGACCAAGGGUUCCUGUCCAACGUUAAUCGGGGCAGGGUGAGUCGACCCCUAAGGCGAGGCCGAAAGGCGUAGUCGAUGGGAAACGGGUUAAUAUUCCCGUACUUGGUGUUACUGCGAAGGGGGGACGGAGAAGGCUAUGUUGGCCGGGCGACGGUUGUCCCGGUUUAAGCGUGUAGGUGUGUGUUCCAGGUAAAUCCGGUUCACUUUAACACUGAGGCGUGACGACGAGGCACUACGGUGCUGAAGCAACAAAUGCCCUGCUUCCAGGAAAAGCCUCUAAGCCUCAGGUAACAUCAAAUCGUACCCCAAACCGACACAGGUGGUCAGGUAGAGAAUACCAAGGCGCUUGAGAGAACUCGGGUGAAGGAACUAGGCAAAAUGGUGCCGUAACUUCGGGAGAAGGCACGCUGACACGUAGGUGAAGUGGUUUACCCAUGGAGCUGAAGUCAGUCGAAGAUACCAGCUGGCUGCAACUGUUUAUUAAAAACACAGCACUGUGCAAACACGAAAGUGGACGUAUACGGUGUGACGCCUGCCCGGUGCCGGAAGGUUAAUUGAUGGGGUCAGCGCAAGCGAAGCUCCUGAUCGAAGCCCCGGUAAACGGCGGCCGUAACUAUAACGGUCCUAAGGUAGCGAAAUUCCUUGUCGGGUAAGUUCCGACCUGCACGAAUGGCGUAAUGAUGGCCAGGCUGUCUCCACCCGGGACUCAGUGAAAUUGAACUCGCUGUGAAGAUGCAGUGUACCCGCGGCAAGACGGAAAGACCCCGUGAACCUUUACUAUAGCUUGACACUGAACACUGGUCCUUGAUGUGCAGGAUAGGUGGGAGGCUUUGAAGUGUGGACGCCAGUCUGCAUGGAGCCAUCCUUGAAAUACCACCCUUUAAUGGCUGGUGUUCUAACGUGGGCCCGUGAACCGGGUUGCGGACAGUGUCUGGUGGGUAGUUUGACUGGGGCGGUCUCCUCCUAAAGAGUAACGGAGGAGCACGAAGGUUGGCUAAUCCUGGUCGGACAUCAGGAGGUUAGUGCAAUGGCAUAAGCCAGCUUGACUGCGAGCGUGACGGCGCGAGCAGGUGCGAAAGCAGGUCAUAGUGAUCCGGUGGUUCUGAAUGGAAGGGCCAUCGCUCAACGGAUAAAAGGUACUCCGGGGAUAACAGGCUGAUACCGCCCAAGAGUUCAUAUCGACGGCGGUGUUUGGCACCUCGAUGUCGGCUCAUCACAUCCUGGGGCUGAAGUAGGUCCCAAGGGUAUGGCUGUUCGCCAUUUAAAGUGGUACGCGAGCUGGGUUUAGAACGUCGUGAGACAGUUCGGUCCCUAUCUGCCGUGGGCGCUGGAAGAUUGAGGGGGGCUGCUCCUAGUACGAGAGGACCGGAGUGGACGCAUCACUGGUGUUCGGGUUGUCAUGCCAAUGGCACUGCCCGGUAGCUACAUGCGGAAGAGAUAAGUGCUGAAAGCAUCUAAGCACGAAACUUGCCCCGAGAUGAAUCUUCCCUGAGCCUUUAAGGCUCCUGAAGGAACGUUGAAGACGACGACGUUGAUAGGCCGGGUGUGUAAGCGCAGCGAUGCGUUGAGCUAACCGGUACUAAUGAACCGUGAGGCUUAACCUUACAACGCCGAAG
rnacentral:rRNA from 1 species